rnacentral:rRNA from 1 species
CUACGGGAGGCAGCAGUGGGGAAUCUUCCGCAAUGGGCGCAAGCCUGACGGAGCAACGCCGCGUGAGUGAUGAAGGCCUUCGGGUUGUAAAACUCUGUCUUCAGGGAAGAAACAAAUGACGGUACCUGAGGAGGAAGCCACGGCUAACUACGUGCCAGCAGCCGCGGUAAUACGUAGGUGGCAAGCGUUGUCCGGAAUUACUGGGCGUAAAGAGCGCGUAGGCGGGGAUUUAAGUCAGGAGUGAAAACUACCGGCUCAACCGGUAGCCUGCUCUUGAAACUGAAUUUCUUGAGGGUAUGAGAGGAAAGCGGAAUUCCCAGUGUAGCGGUGAAAUGCGUAGAUAUUGGGAGGAACACCAGUGGCGAAGGCGGCUUUCUGGCAUACAACUGACGCUGAGGCGCGAAAGCGUGGGGAGCAAACGGGAUUAGAUACCCCGGU